GACGAACGCUGGCGGCGUGCCUAAUACAUGCAAGUUGAGCGCUGAAGGUUGGUACUUGUACCAACUGGAUGAGUAGCGAACGGGUGAGUAACGCGUGGGGAAUCUGCCUUUGAGCGGGGGACAACAUUUGGAAACGAAUGCUAAUACCGCAUAAAAACUUUAAACACAAGUUUUAAGUUUGAAAGAUGCAAUUGCAUCACUCAAAGAUGAUCCCGCGUUGUAUUAGCUAGUUGGUGAGGUAAAGGCUCACCAAGGCGAUGAUACAUAGCCGACCUGAGAGGGUGAUCGGCCACACUGGGACUGAGACACGGCCCAAACUCCUACGGGAGGCAGCAGUAGGGAAUCUUCGGCAAUGGACGAAAGUCUGACCGAGCAACGCCGCGUGAGUGAAGAAGGUUUUCGGAUCGUAAAACUCUGUUGGUAGAGAAGAACGUUGGUGAGAGUGGAAAGCUCAUCAAGUGACGGUAACUACCCAGAAAGGGACGGCUAACUACGUG
rnacentral:rRNA from 1 species